GUACAUAACAAUUUGAGCGAAUAUACACAAAUUGCCUGAUUCUUACUAGGAACUCUUAUCUGUACACCUGAAAUUUAACUGCUCAGAAAGCUUCAAUUUACCAUCUACUCAGCUGUCAAGGUAGUUGGAUGGAUUUGGCAUCAACAAAAUGCAUGGAGAAAAUGCAUCUUGUACCAAACUCUAUCAGUGCAAAACACAUUCCUGUUGUAGUACGUUGUAUCAAACAGAAGGCAGAUUUCUG
rnacentral:misc_RNA from 1 species